rnacentral:rRNA from 1 species
AUACGAAGGGUGCAAGCGUUACUCGGAAUUACUGGGCGUAAAGCGUGCGUAGGUGGUGGUUUAAGUCUGCUGUGAAAGCCCUGGGCUCAACCUGGGAAUUGCAGUGGAUACUGGAUCACUAGAGUGUGGUAGAGGGAUGCGGAAUUUCUGGUGUAGCAGUGAAAUGCGUAGAGAUCAGAAGGAACAUCCGUGGCGAAGGCGGCAUCCUGGGCCAACACUGACACUGAGGCACGAAAGCGUGGGGAGCAAACAGGAUUAGAUACCCUGGUAGUCCACGCCCUAAACGAUGCGAACUGGAUGUUGGGUGCAACUUGGCACCCAGUAUCGAAGCUAACGCGUUAAGUUCGCCGCCUGGGGAGUACGGUCGCAAGACUGAAACUCAAAGGAAUUGACGGGGCCCGCACAAGCGGCGGAGCAUGUGGUUUAAUUCGAUGCAACGCGAAGAACCUUACCUACCCUUGACAUCCUAGGAAUCCAGUAGAGAUAUUGGAGUGCCGAAAGGAACCU